rnacentral:sRNA from 1 species
GAUUUGGCCAGGGAUGCUGGAUCAGCCCCAGUGCAGGUACAGAAUAGGCAAUGGCAGUGCAAACUUCUCCCAAAUUACCCCACAAUGUGCCUUGACCCUCCCCUAGUGAAACUUUCUUAGGCAUGAGAGAAUAAAUCAGUCUCCAUCCUCAUUAAUUCAUUUUGCUGAA